rnacentral:rRNA from 1 species
CAGCAGUGGGAAUCUUAGACAAUGGGCGCAAGCCUGAUCUAGCCAUGCCGCGUGAGUGAUGAAGCCGUUAGGGUCGUAAAGCUCUUUCGCCAGGGGAUGAUAAUGACAGUACCUGGUAAAGAAACCCCGGACUAACUCCGUGCCAGCAGCCGCGGUAAUACGGAGGGGUUAGCGUUGUUCGGAAUUACUGGGCGUAAAGCGCGCGUAGGCGGAUUAGUCAGUUAGAGGUGAAAUCCCAGGGCUCAACCCUGGAACUGCCUUUAAUACUGCUAGUCUUGAGUUCGAGAGAGGUGAGUGGAAUUCCGAGUGUAGAGGUGAAAUUCGUAGAUAUUCGGAGGAACACCAGUGGCGAAGGCGGCUCACUGGCUCGAUACUGACGCUGAGGUGCGAAAGUGUGGGGAGCAAACAGGAUUAGAUACCCUGGUAG